UUUCUCCGCCGGCGACCGGCGCACGGGUGAGUAACACGUAUGCAACCUGCCCCUGUCAGGGGGACAACCCGCCGAAAGGCGGGCUAAACCCGCGUACAUGCCACCGGGGCAUCCCGGAGGCAGGAAAGGCUUCGGCCGGACAGGGAUGGGCAUGCGGCGCAUUAGGCAGUAGGCGGGGUAACGGCCCACCUAACCGACGAUGCGUAGGGGUUCUGAGAGGAAGGUCCCCCACACUGGUACUGAGACGCGGACCAGACUCCUACGGAAGGCAGCAG
rnacentral:rRNA from 1 species